UACAGAGGUCUCAAGCGUUGUUCGGAUUCAUUGGGCGUAAAGGGUGCGUAGGUGGUGAUGCAAGUCUGGUGUGAAAUCUCGGAGCUCAACUCCGAAAUUGCACCGGAUACUGCGUGACUCGAGGACUGUAGAGGAGAUCGGAAUUCACGGUGUAGCAGUGAGAUGCGUAGAUAUCGUGAGGAAGACCAGUUGCGAAGGCGGAUCUCUGGGCAGUUCCUGACACUGAGGCACGAAGGCCAGGGGAGCAAACGGG
rnacentral:rRNA from 1 species